rnacentral:rRNA from 1 species
GGGAUAUUGGGCAAUGGGGGGAACCCUGACCCAGCCAUGCCGCGUGAGGGAAGUAGGCCCUACGGGUCGUGAACCUCUUUUGACCGGGGACAAGGGCGCGCACGCGAUGCACGCUUGAGGGUACCGGUAGAAUAAGCGUCGGCUAACUCCGUGCCAGCAGCCGCGGUAAUACGGAGGACGCGAGCGUUAUCCGGAUUCAUUGGGUUUAAAGGGUGCGCAGGCGGCCGUGCAAGUCAGCGGUGAAAGCCCGGGGCCCAACCCCGGAAGUGCCGUUGAUACUGUGCGGCUGGAAUGCGGUCGAGGCGGGCGGAACGUGGCGUGUAGCGGUGAAAUGCGUAGAUAUGCCACAGAACGCCGAUAGCGGAGGCAGCUCGCCAGGCCUGCAUUGACGCUCGGGCACGAAAGCGUGGGGAUCGAACA